CUUCAUCUCGCCAUCACUGGUAUAUGUAACAGUAGCUCUGACAAAAUGGUGACGGCGGUUUUUGCCAUGUGUUGGUCUGGAGGGAAACUACCAUCUUUACAAACGGGAAAAAACAGCAGAGCAAUCAGAUUAGUCUGUAGAGAAUCUGGGCGUGUCUUGAAAUGAGAGGAGACACAGGGUUAGAUCACCAAGGAAGGCAUCCAAAGGUGAACACAUACAUAAUGAAAACAUUUUGACAUUACUGUUAGGGUUGCUAUUAACAAAAAUCCAAAAGUCAAGUUUUGUUUAUUAAAACAUGUUU